rnacentral:rRNA from 1 species
ACACAUGCAAGUCGAGCGGAUGAGUGGAGCUUGCUCCAUGAUUCAGCGGCGGACGGGUGAGUAAUGCCUAGGAAUCUGCCUGGUAGUGGGGGACAACGUUUCGAAAGGAACGCUAAUACCGCAUACGUCCUACGGGAGAAAGUGGGGGAUCUUCGGACCUCACGCUAUCAGAUGAGCCUAGGUCGGAUUAGCUAGUUGGUGAGGUAAAGGCUCACCAAGGCGACGAUCCGUAACUGGUCUGAGAGGAUGAUCAGUCACACUGGAACUGAGACACGGUCCAGACUCCUACGGGAGGCAGCAGUGGGGAAUAUUGGACAAUGGGCGAAAGCCUGAUCCAGCCAUGCCGCGUGUGUGAAGAAGGUCUUCGGAUUGUAAAGCACUUUAAGUUGGGAGGAAGGGCAGUAAGUUAAUACCUUGCUGUUUUGACGUUACCGACAGAAUAAGCACCGGCUAACUUCGUGCCAGCAGCCGCGGUAAUACGAAGGGUGCAAGCGUUAAUCGGAAUUACUGGGCGUAAAGCGCGCGUAGGUGGUUCGUUAAGUUGGAUGUGAAAGCCCCGGGCUCAACCUGGGAACUGCAUCCAAAACUGGCGAGCUAGAGUAUGGCAGAGGGUGGUGGAAUUUCCUGUGUAGCGGUGAAAUGCGUAGAUAUAGGAAGGAACACCAGUGGCGAAGGCGACCACCUGGGCUAAUACUGACACUGAGGUGCGAAAGCGUGGGGGAGCAAACAGGAUUAGAUACCUUGGUAGUCCACGCCGUAAACGAUGUCGACUAGCCCGUUGGGGAUCCUUGGAUAUUUUAAUUGUCGCAGCUAACGCAAUUAAUUCGACCGCCUGGGGGAGUACGGGCCGCAAGGUUAAUACUUCA